UCCCUGGUGGUCGAGUGGCUAAGAGUUUGCACUCCCAAUGCAGGGGGCCUGGGUUCAAUCCCCAGUCAGGGAA